AGAAUGAACUGUUUAUUUCGGGGAUGAAGAUACAGGGAACAUCAGUCUUUGAGUCACUAGAAAUUACAAAUUCUAACUGAAAAUGGUACAACUGAAAAAAUGACUCUGAAGUAUAUAUAAUAUUGUUUACAGUCCUUGUGAGUCAUGGAUGCAUAUACAAGUGUGUACAUACUGUGAAGACCGGUCGGAUAAUGGAAGGUGAAAGUAGUGGGGUUAGUGGAGGAUCAAAUCCUCACCCCCACCACUAUAAUGGAGUGGUGGGAUAAUGGAAGGUGGAAGUAGUGGAGUUAGUGGGGGACCAAAUCUUCACCCCCACCACUAUAAAUAACCUCACACUUAUCGGAGGGAAGAUUGAAUCGUAAGAGAAGACGGAACCUCGGCAGAUUCGUGUUGUGAAAGGAAGAAGAGGUCACCGCGGUAGCAACUUCCAAGGAAAGGAUGAAGAUGAAAGGGGCGCCGAGAAUGAGAACGAGCAUAGAGAACAAGCCGAGUUCUGGGGAUGGUGAACCGGCUCAAAUUUCGGACGGGAGGACUAGAAAUCUACUGCAGUUAUGAAUUUCUUAAUUUAGUUAGGGGGAUGUAAUGUAAUUUGUUGAGCAAUGAAAACGACGUACUUUUGUGUUAGGUAUGUAAAGACUGACUUUACGUGGCAAUUACUAUACUAUUGAGGCUGGUUGUUUUCGAACUUUGGGUUGAAAGCAACGCCGAUGUCAGCCCCCGGUCGGUCCCGGCCGUGGGGUGUGACAUUUUAGUAGUAUCAUAGCCAAGUUCUUUUCCCCUAAUCAUGUAAAGCUUCUGCCAAGAAGAAAAGAGGUAGAAUUUUGGA